CAAAUCCGUGAAUCUGUGAGUUUGACCCUAAAAUAUUCUUGAGAGAGUACAUUUCCUUUUCAGACAGUGUUACAGAUUUGGAAACAAUUGCUGUUUUCAAAGGAACAAAGGAGAUAGGUGCAAGUGGUGAACAAGUGUAUACAUUCCUGUGAGAAUAUGAGAGACCUGAACCAAAUUUCAUGUGAAUUUUGUGGAACUCUAAGAGAAUUUAAAUUAAGUUCCAAAGGUUAUGAUUGCUCCUUAUCACUGAAAUGUACUUUCUAAUUCUAAAAAAACUCCACAUUCUGGAAACUAAAGAUAAGAUUUUUUUAGUGCUGAAUUCAAGCUUUUGUCUCUAUCUCAAUACUUUAUCAGUAAGCUGAAUACUAUUUGAUGUUGAAAGACAAGAUUAGGUAUUAGUAAGAAGUUCUUUCCUGUGAGGGUGGUGAGAGCCUGGCCCAGGUUGCCCAGAGAAGCUGUGGCUGCCCCAUCCCUGGAAGGGUUCAAGGCCAGGCUGGAUGGGGCUUGGAGCAACCUGGUCUGGUGGGAGGUGUCCCUGCCCAGGGCAGGGGGGUUGGAACUGGGUGAUCUUUAAGGUCCCUUCCAACCCAAACCAUUCUAAGAUAAGACAACAUGACAGGCACAACGUUGUAUAUGAAAUCAUGACUGAAACCUUUAAAAGCUGGUUCGGCCUUGAAAACAGAUAAAAUAUAAUAAUUUCUGUAAUUUGUGUCUAAAUUGCCUUGCCUGUUUCUGAAGUAGUUUACACAUUGCAAAGGGCUGGAUUCAGAACUGACAUAAAUGAACACAAUUCUGAGCCCCGUGGGAAUCAGCCAGUUAAAAACAAAUUGAGCGUUAGGAGUUAGCCAAAGGACCCAUCAUCGCAACACCUUGAUGUGGGGACUUUUUUAGACCGUAUCUCAGCCAAAUUCUAGCAAAAAAAUUAAGAAAAAUAGUGGGUUUUUUAAUGGAUGAAAGCUCAGAAUUCCAAAAGUGAACUCCUGAUUCCCACUGGUUUCAGUGAGGUCAGUCUUUCAGCCCUAUGUCCCAACUGGAUAUGUAUACAUCUAUACUGGGGAAUUGGAGAUCAUUGUCACUGCAGUGUUCAGAAGGUUCAUAAACCAAGCCACUACAAACUUUAAAACAUAACAGAGAUAACUCUGUAGGCAGAAUAAUUACUUUGUAGAUUGGUGAGUGUUUUGGGCUUUUUUUUUCUUGUCUUGGAGAUCUGUUGUUUGCAGGAAUCUCAGCGCUGGAGUGAUUUCAAUCAAAAUGCCAUGCUGUUCAAUUGGAAAAGGGACUUGUAGAAAGCAUUGAAAUGGUGCUGGUGAGGGAUACAAAACACUUUGGCUUCAUAGACAAGGGCUUGGCCUCUCUUACAGAUUCUCUUGAGACUCAUUUUUCAGGUACUAAAUGCAAAUUUAUUCAGAAAGUAAGUUCGGGGGGUGUGCAUUUUUUUUUACAUUUCUGUAAAACCUAAUUCAACAGGACAUUUACUUAGAUAAUUUCACAAAGCAGGAAGGUGGGGCUUUUUAAUAUAUUUUUACUAGACUCUGUUAAUUUAGGACCUUUUGAAAAAGAAGUAUGUGGGGAAACAGUCAGAGGUCAUUACCUCGUUUCUUGCCAAAAUAAAGAGUACAGGAUUCUUGAGGGAGGGCUACUGCUUGGCCUCUCUGAGAACAGGUAGGAGCUCGUCUCUGACUGCAUCAUCCACAAAGUUUUACAUAUAGAACAAACCAUAUGUUCACACUCUGUACAACUAGUUGCUAGUUACUUUAAAAUAGAAUGAUUGUUGUGUCAUCUAUUCCUAUUUUUUUUAUUUUCUGGAGUCAUGAUAGUCAUUAGCUUAAGAGAAGGGCAUUCUCCUAAAAUCCAUCAGAUACUUAUGGAAGUGUCCCUAAAUAAAGUUAAAAUCUGAAAAUAAGCAAUUCUUUACAGUAUAUUGUGUAUCUGAGUGGAAAACUUUAAGUCUGGUUAAGGUCAGCUGCACUUCUUAGUUUCAAAGUUGCUGUGGGACCCAAACUGUGUGCUCAGGCUCCCUUUUCCAGAAAUGGAGGAAGACAAAUGAAGCCACUUUCUGGCGAUAAAACCCAGAUAAAGAACCUAUAAAGACCUCACUGGAGCAGAAAGAUGCAACUUGUUCUUCCCUGUCUGUUGGCCCGUGUUGGUUUUCCCUAGCGUUUGUGAGGCCUGUGAGAAAUGUUUGGAUAAGAUCUUUUGGUGCUGUUCCCAGAACAUGGUUCAUGUGAUGUCAAAGAAUCCUGACGUUUUGCCAGGGACCUUUUUUUUGUCAUUGGGAAUUUGGAGACUGGGUUUGUAAGGCGUUGGCUGAGGCCAGAAUACAAAGGCAAAACUCCUGAGCGACCUAUUCUGGCAGGCCAUCUUCUGUCAAAGGCCACCAGGGACCUCUACCAGGAGGCUCCACCCAAAAGGAGAAUGAGGAAGGGAGCAACAGGUCUAGACAACUCUAACUUCUUUAGCAUUGCAGAGUUGGAGCUGAAACAUUGGUUGUCCAGGCUGUAUAUUGGCACAGAAAUAUGAAUUAUUGUAAUAAAUAAACCAGCUUAAAGCCAGAGUUUCCUUGUCUUGAAACAGGGAGAUCAAAGAGAUGAAGACCAGAGUGAUGUACAAUUAUUAUAUUCCUUCAACUGCAAGAAUUAGUGACCCUCUAGCUGCCUGAAAAGUGGGAGGGAUGACUUGUGACUAUGCUCACUUAAAUACUAUUUAGACACCACUCUAGACCAGGGGUUCCCAAUCUUUUUUCCAUCUGUAACCCAUAGAUUUUUCUCCUCUGGCAGGGCUGUCCUGAGUGAAGUGAAGGUAAGCGUACGGAGAGUUUUCGUCACUUCUUUCUAUAGACAUCUUGAAGUCUUGAGUUGUAGACUAUUUUGACUAUUGGACCCCAUGGAAAAAGUGCAAGGAAAUUAAGAUAGAAGGAAGUAUAACAAGAAAUAGGAAAAAUGCAACUUGCUAGUGAAAAACAACGCCGUUGAUCAGUACUCGCUUAGUGGAGAUGGAAAGGUAAAAACCAACAUCUGAAUAUAUCGUGUUUUCUUUAAUUACAAUGUACAUGCAUUUUCUUGCACAUGUGCAUAAUUUGUGUCGGAUGAAGUAAAUGACAUCACUCUCUGUCCAUGUCUUCUAUUUCCAUGGAUUUGUGAUUAUAUUUAUUGCAAUUUGCUGCAUUGUAGAUGCUAGAAUACAAAUAAUCAAAAAUGCUGUCAUCGUACUAAAUGAUAAAUUAUAUCACAGAGUGAAAUAAAGUAUUUUAUCAUUUAGUAUGAUGCAGAUCUUUUUUCCUAACACAACACAAAAUUCACACCAUUACAGUUUCACUCAAUCUCAAAAUGCUGUUCUGCUAAUUGAUGGCUAAGUUAUGCAGUACCUGUUGGAAUGCUGAGAAGCUGCUUUGUCUUACUUGGGUUUUUUGUUUGGGUUCUUUUUUUGUUUUUAAUGUUACUUGUUUCUAUCUUGUUUUCACUCCAUAGUUUCCAUUAUGGUCCAGUAUCAGGAAGUUCUUGAAUAGGCAAGUGUUUUGGGGUCAUAGUCAUAAUUAAGUCCACCUUUUGAUUACUUUAUUUACAAUGAUGAUUAAUUUUCCGAGUGGAAACCCUAUUUUUUUUAUUCCUAAAGAUCAAAUUUUAAUUUAUAAUUAGAUUUUCGUAGUUUGUUGUAACCAGAAUGCGUUUUUUCACUAGUUUGCAAAGUUUAUUAAUUAUCUUUGCUAUUUAUUGCCAUGUGCCCAUAUAAAGUACUGCUGGAGACCUGUGUUUGGCCUUGCUAUGAAUAGUUUCCCAUCUGACUUACUGUGUAUCGUCUGUCCUGUGUUCAUUUGACAUGAUUUGCCUACAUUUUCUCCAUCAUCACUGCAUCAGGUCAGCAGAGAGAACAGCUGGAAACGUUAUUCCCAUGUACAUAUGUGUACAUAUACAGUAAUAUAUAUGUCCACGUGAAAGGAUUUAUGCCUAGAGGUCCAUUUGGUUUUAAGGUUCAUUGACCAACACCAAUGCUGCUUAACUACUCAUAAAAAUAAUUAUGCUAAGAAGUCAGAUAAGGGUACAUAUUUUAAUUAGAUAUGUUUGGCACUUUAAAAAUCUCAUUUAUAACCCUGCAGAAAGUUCUUGAGCUUGUGACUGACCUGCCAGUGUGUUCCUACCACGUGCAUCAUCUCUCUGUGUUCUCCAAGCUGCUUCUUCUUGGGAAGAAGAGACGGGGAGGGACUCUUGAUCAAGGAGGGGAGCCACAGGACGAGGGACCACUACCUUGACCUACAUUGGCCACUGCCUGGUGCUUCCCAAGCUGCACUGAAGAAGAAAAGAAAUCAACCUUAUCAGAGUGUGAAUAGAAACCGGAACGGCUGUUGACUGGGAGAUGAAGCAUCUGCUGAAGAGCGCCUUCGCGUAACAACUUGGGAGAAACAGGAUAAAAAGUCUGGGAACCAUCUGAACACCAGGAUAACAUUAUUCCAGGUUGUGAAGGUGUAACAUCAUACUGUGAUCAGCAAACUCCAGCUGCUGGAGGAGAGGGCAAAAGGAGCCCUACAGGAUACGUCAGUCUGUGGGACUUGAACAGUUGCACAGUAACAUCUGGUUUUACCGCUGAGAGCAAAAUGUCUUACCCAACCAGCAAUGGACAGAAAAACAAUUCUUGUGGGUUUGAGUGAGAGCCUUCCUCAUCAUCUUGAGAGGACCCAAUGCAAA